rnacentral:lncRNA from 1 species
AGCGCCGAAGCGGGAACGCACGAACGCGGCGCCCCAGCGCACCGCGGCGCACAGCUCGUCGGGGAGGAGCUCCCGUGCCAUGCCGCGCGCCAGCAUGGCGUACGCGCUCACCGAGGCCGCAGUGGCGAGCGCCUUCUUGUACGCAUCCACCACCGCUGCCCCUUCGGGCGAGGACGCCAUGCUUGUCUUUGGCAAGAAAUCCAUGGAUAACAAGGACUAAUAAUAUAUAGACAAAUAGAUCUCUCCCUGUUUCGAGUUCCGUCGCGUUGUGUUGCCAGCGUCCCCCCUUGUGUAUUUAUACUACAGAAGAGUACAAUCUUUCCAAACUCAACACGAGCACCACACGGAAACGACUCCGCCAACAACUCAAUUUCCC